CCUACGGGUGGCAGCAGUGAGGAAUAUUGGUCAAUGGACGAGAGUCUGAACCAGCCAAGUAGCGUGAAGGAUGACUGCCCUAUGGGUUGUAAACUUCUUUUAUAAAGGAAUAAAACGAGCCACGUGUGCCUUUUUGCAUGUACUUUAUGAAUAAGGAUCGGCUAACUCCGUGCCAGCAGCCGCGGUAAUACGGAGGAUCCGAGCGUUAUCCGGAUUUAUUGGGUUUAAAGGGAGCGUAGAUGGGUUGUUAAGUCAGUUGUGAAAGUUUGCGGCUCAACCGUAAAAUUGCAAUUGAUACUGGCAGUCGUGAGUACAGUUGAGGUAGGCGGAAUUCGUGGUGUAGCGGUGAAAUGCUUAGAUAUCACGAAGAACCCCGAUUGCGAAGGCAGCUUACUAAACUGUAACUGACAUUGAGGCUCGAAAGUGUGGGUAUCAAACAGGAUUAGAUACCCUUGUAGUC
rnacentral:rRNA from 1 species